GCGCCAGAGCAGCACGCGCUUGCGCAUAACUGGGGCCGUCUUGCCCCCGCGGCGGCGGCCCUUUUAACCGCGAGCUACACUG